rnacentral:tRNA from 174 species
GCCUCCGUAGCUCAGGGGAUAGAGCACCGCUCUCCUAAAGCGGGUGUCGCAGGUUCGAAUCCUGCCGGGGGCACCA